CGCAGCGUCUCUGCAGCACAGCCAGGGCCUGAGAAGGAGGCCUGGGACCUACAAGGAACAGAGUGUGAACUGCCCUGAUGUCCAAGAGACACUGUUUGUGAUGUUCCCUGCCACAGAGAGGGAAAAACAAUGUUAUGCAAUUAGCGACUGCAUCAUAACACAUACCAGCAAGCAGUUUGCACCUGAGGACAUAAUCAGGCAGUAUGAUUACAUCCAUGAAAACAGGAUCCCAAGCAAGCUUGGUUGGAAAUGCUGCAAGAGAACAUUGAAUCAGUGCUUCUAUAUCCUGAGAAAUUUCCCCAAAUCUGGGAAUUUUUGAGUAAAAUGUUUCAACUUGGGAAAUUGGGAAUUUUCAUUCAAAACCUAAAUCAUCCUGGGAAAAUUUCAUAAAAAGUAAAAGACUUUCCAAAUCUCAAAAAUCCUGGGAAGUUUUCAUAAAAAGUAAAAUAUUUGUGCGUCUUUUAAAUUUCCCUCCAAAUGCGUUCUUCGAUUGGUGAAUAUCUGUCACGAUUUUCAUAAUCAGGCUGUGCUGCUCUCCUAUUGGUGGUGCUUCAACGUACUAUAUCAUGAUGGCACAAGUGAAGUGACCAGUGUGCACAUGCACUCACAACAAACCAACCUCAGCAACAGCUGGCUGGCGGGUAAUGAGGAGAUGGUUACCAAAUUUAUCUUCUAGAGAUCUAAUGUAAAAAAUGAAUCAAGAGACUGGUAAGGCUGGUGAGAAGAGGAAGAGGACUGCAGGAGUAGACAAAGAUCCAUCCACGUUGAAACGAAAACAAUGGGAUAGCACUCCCGACAGAGUAUUGAAGACUUGGAUGAACUUCCACCAAAAGAGAAGCCAUCUACUUUCAAAAAAGCCUUUCAAUACUUGUGGCUUCAAGAAGAUUAUGAACAAACAGGAAAAUGAAGGUGAAGACGACUGAGUUAGCUGCAGAAGCCAAUAUUUUCAAGUUUCUCAUGUUGACCUGGCUGACAGUCGAAUUUUUUUUUUAAUAUUUCAUUUAACUAUUUUAGUUAAACAAUUUUAACAAAAACAAACCAGAUUUAAAAAAAGUUGAACGUUUAAAAGAAUUCAAAAAUUCAUAUGCUUGUUUUGUUAAAAAAUUGUAUGUUUGCUGUUGAAGAAAAAUAUCCAGAAUACAUAACAUUGUUGUUUUAGUUAAAACAAAACAAUUUAAAAUGUCUGUCUGGUGAUGUUCUCCUCCUAAUACAGCAUGGCAAGAAAAUCCUCCGAAUAUCGAUUAACCUGUUGAAUUGGAGAUAUUUAUGAAGUCAUUGGGAGAUGAACUAUCUGCUUCAACUACCUUUGGUAAAUGAAAUAACCAAUCAUUCAUUUUCUGAUAUAGCUGUAAAACUAAUCA